CCUACGGGUGGCAGCAGUGAGGAAUAUUGGUCAAUGGACGCGAGCCUGAACCAGCCAAGUCGCGUGAAGGAUGACUGCCCUACGGGUUGUAAACUUCUUUUGUCAAGGAAUAAAGUGAGGCACGUGUGCAUUUUUGUAUGUACUUUAUGAAUAAGGAUCGGCUAACUCCGUGCCCGCAGCCGAGGUAAUCCGGAGGAUCCGAGCGUUGUCCGGAUUUAUUGGGUUGAACGGGAGCGUAGAUGGGUUGUUAAGUCAGUUGUGAAAGUAUGCGGCUCAACCGUAAAAUUGCAAUUGAAACUGGCAGACUUGAGUACAGUAGAGGUAGGCGGAAUUCGUGGUGUAGCGGUGAAAUGCUUAGAUAUCACGAAGAACUCCGAUUGCGAAGGCAGCUUACUAAACUGCAACUGACACUGAUGCUCGAAAGUGUGGGUAUCGAACAGGAUUAGAUACCCCUGUAGUC
rnacentral:rRNA from 1 species